AGAGUUUGAUCAUGGCUCAGAACGAACGCUGGCGGUGUGCUUAACACAUGCAAAGUCGAAACGCGAAAAGUUUUCUUCGGGAAGACGAGUAGAGUGGCGCACGGGUGAGUAACGCGUAAGUAAUCUACCCCGGCAUCUGGAAUAACUCACCGAAAGGUGUGCUAAUACCGGAUACGUUGGUAACAAGAAAGGUGGCCUCUGCAUAUGCUACCGUGCUGGGAUGAGCUUGCGUACCAUUAGCUAGUUGGUAGGGUAAAGGCCUACCAAGGCGACGAUGGUUAGCGGGUCUGAGAGGAUGAUCCGCCACACUGGAACUGGAACACGGACCAGACUCCUACGGGAGGCAGCAGUGAGGAAUAUUGCGCAAUGGGGGCAACCCUGACGCAGCGACGCCGCGUGGAUGAUGAAGGCCUUCUGGUCGUAAAAUCCUGUCAGAUGGAAAGAAGUGCAUAGUGGGUUUAAUACCCGCUAUGUUUGACGGUACCAUCGAAGGAAAGCACCGGCUAACUCCGUGCCAGCCGCGGUAAUA
rnacentral:rRNA from 1 species